GCUAGUGUGGCGGAGAAGGAAACGCGGAAGAGCUAAGUUCUUUUUACGGUGUGUGAGGCCCGCUAGUA
rnacentral:tRNA from 1 species